rnacentral:lncRNA from 1 species
UUUUUGCAUCAAGUUGUGAUGUUGUCUCGUAUCCUCUAGCGAUAAUGCGGUCAAUAUCUUCAUUUGUUAUUAUGCUACUAUACUAGGAACUGAAUACAAUUUCGGCAACAAAUCUCACCAUCAGCGUGUCCUUAUUGGCAGCUAAUACAGAACACAACAACAAAAUCACAUUACUACAUGUUCCACUUUAACAUUUAACAUUAAAAAUAAUUACAUUACAUGCAGUGAGAAGUAACAAAAGCAAUUUUUCUGUUCUGCCAAUCAAUCUUGCUAUAUGACCAAAGCAUCCAAGGCAAGCUUCUUGCUCUCUCGAUUACUCCUUCCUAGAGGCGACUAGUAUGAGAUGAACAUAUUAUACGAGAUCGUGUGAUCCAGCUAUCUGGGCCACUGGAUUAAGAUCCCACAAUGCAAAUAGUGAGAGGUGGAGAUACGCAAGACAUUUUACAUGGAUCUCCUCAUUCCGAAAAUAUUGCAGACCAAGACCUCAAACCUAAUCCUCUUUCUCGCGUUCCUGGACCACCAUGCGCUGCCGAAGUGCACCACCGUAAGACUAGCCACAAUGCAUAGUAACAUACACUAAUAACAUACACAUAUCCCUAGACUAUGUUAUUAUCUUCAUAGUGGGUAGUAACAUAAGUGUAGUAACAUACAAAGCUUCAUUUAUUAGGUUAUAGACUCAUAUUGCAUUGGGACAUGUGAUGUUACAGUAACUAGCUAAGUUACUGUAACUACCUCUCUCCUCAUUAACUCAUUGCCACAUAAGCAAAUUUGCUGAGUUGGACUCGAUGUUACUACUGAAAUUACUCCCACUGUGGCUAGUCUAAGACCGCACGCGGCCUCGCCUCAAUGUGCCGCUGACCUCGCCGAAUCAAUGUACACCAGCUUUAUUUCCGGCCACCCGCAGGCCUGUCAUCACCGGAUCCGACGCCUCCAUCGGAUCUGCUUGCAGGAGCGCUUGAUCCAGUUCAUCACUCGACGCCGACGACCGGAGCGCCCAAAUCCAUGGUGUACCAUGACCGCAGCAGUCCAGGUGCGCGGAUCUACAGGUUACACUGGCCGGCGAGGUGCACGCAUGAUUUCCCAUCAACGUGUUCUGCUUCUGCAUCUUUUGUUAUGCAGGGGUAAACUCGUGUUGAGCAGUGCCAUGUUUUUGGCACGUUCUUGUUGAAUUUCUUCCCUUCUUUGUGUGGUCAAUUUGUGUGAUACCGAUUAAUAUUUUGGAGCCUUUUUUUUUGCAAAUUGUGCAUCUGCACAAAAUAAUUCUUUUUUGCUGUAAAUGAUCAUGUUUCACUCCAUUUGUUUUUGAAUAUAUGACAUUGUUCUAGUAUUAAUCUGACUGCUAAUUAGCAAGCUUACUGAGUUUUGUGAUUUCUCAGUACACUUUUAUUUAUGGAAUGUUUAUUUUUCAGGAAGAAUUUACGAUGUUACUUGGUAGCAUGAACAUGUAGAUAUCAAUUGGUAAUCGUGAAGAUAUUUUUUUCUAUGAUCUCAGAUACAGAAAUUUCUCAAAGAAUGUAAAUAUGGGACUGUAGCGACUUUCAUUUAUUUGUGGAAGCAGUGACAUAUGGCAUUUUCGUAGAGUACAUAAUCUCUUUCUUAAAAUGGUUUUGUGCACAAAGUAUAGCUUUACUAUUUCCACAAUUGUUUUGUAUGCACAUAUUUUUACUGUACACAUAUAACUGAGCAUGCGUAUUCCCGUCAGUCAAGCAAAGCAUGUGAGUAAUACCAAGAGUACUAAACUAUAAACUAUUAGGGACUCUAGUGCAAGAUGCACCAUCAAACCAAGCCGUACUUGAUCUGUACCACGAGAUCUUUAUCCGAUGGCUGAUAUUGAUGGAUCACAUGAUCUCACCUGAUGUGCUGAUCUCAUACUAGUCAUGCCCACUUUUUCCUCAAUGAAAACAUAUUGCUACUCUUCCAUUUCCGAAUGGGCACUGAUAGGCGCCGGUGCCCCGGCCCAAAUUGGGCCGGCGCCCCGCGACUGUAGGAUACAGCGCACUUAAACCGUCCAGAUGAAUCGCUUAACAUCCUGAAUAAAAGUCAAACACGCUGGAAACUGUCUCGCUGACCGCCUGGACACGUCCUCUACAUCCCAUGUAUUCCGGCCACCCACACACUCGACUUGUCGGUGCUCGUGCCACCGUGCUCGCCUGUUCCUAGCCCUCACCGUCAUCGGCCGCGAGAUUGCAGCACGAGCACCGAUGGGUUCCCUACUUCGACUGCAGCUCUCCAAUGGCCGGUCCCAGCACGGGGUGACCGUGGUUGCAACAUCCCAUGGUCACCGCCUCCUCCGACUCGCCGCCGUCAUCGGCUUGCAUCACCAUGUCUCAACAAUCACAAAAGUCAUCAACAAAAAUUCCAAAAAAAGCGAGUAGCAGCAAAAAAAAUCAUCUAUUCCAGCAAAAUAAAUCAUUGGUUCCAACAAAAAAAUGAGUCGCUGCUCAUUGUAGCAAAAAUCUCUUUGGUUCCAGCAAAAACAAAUGCCGGUUCCUGCAAAACUUACAAAGGGUUCCAGCAAAGAAAACGUUGCCGUCGUAGAACGCUGCCUUGCCGGUUGUAGUACGCCGUGCCGCCGGUUCCAGCAUUUCGGGCCGCUGGGUCACAACUUCUGAAGGCGCCAGUUGCAGCUUUCCCACCGCCGGUUGUAGCUUUCUAAGCCGCCAGUCGCAGUCGUCGCCUCGCUGGUUGCAGCUUCUAUGAGCGAUGGUUGUAGCUUCCGCAUGCAGCGGUUGAAGCUUUCCCAGCCGUCGGUCGCAACCCGUCGACUUGCCAGUUGCAGCUUUUGCAAGGGCCAGUCGUAGCUGAGCCGGAUGUAGCUUCUGUCGUCGACGCAUGUAGCUUCCGCCGUAGCCGGAUGUAGCUUCUGCCGUUGACGGAUGUAGCACGGGGGCACCAUCAUCGCAGCUCCCGGCCACCGCCGUUGCAGCGCGCGGAGUCGCUGGAUGUAUCUUCUGGCGUCAAUGGUUCCAGCACCGGCGGACGCUGGUCCCAGCACCGUCACGCGCUGGUCGCCACAUCACCACCCGCGGGUCGCUGAAUCCACCCCUGGGCGGGGGAUCUCGGUGCUCCCCACAGCUCGUGAUUUCCGGCAACAUGCGGUGGCGCCGUCUCCACCGCGCGCAGCACUGCGUCUCCACUCUCUCCGCGUGGCACCUGACCGGCAUCGGCGACCACCAGCAGCGGGACAAUCAGUCGUGCCCCGGAUCGAAGUAGCAGGUCAGCGGCGGGGCUAGGUUGGGUAAGGAGAAGCUCUGGUGAAAGCAACGAAGUAGAGAGAGCCCUGGUGAGAGCGUUUGGGGCAGCUAUUCCUCUGGUGAGAGAAACAAAUGAGCGGCGGGGAAUAGAUGUGAGAGGAUAAGGUUGGGAACACACGCAAGAGGAUAAGGUUAGCUGAGUCUUUUUUAAGAAGAGCGGUGCGGGGUGCAUCGUACGAUCACACCGCAUCGCGCGUUUCUGAUGUGACUGGCGCAAAAGCUUGGCCGGCCUGCCGGCGUAAAACGAUUCCCAAAAUACUCCCUAACGGAGAUAUUUGUCAUCAAAAUGUAUAAAAAGGAAUGUAUCUAAAUAUAUUUUAGUUCUAGAUACAUUCUUUUUUGUUCAUUUUGAUGACAAGUAUCUUCGGAUGGAGAGAGUAUUAAUUAAGAACCUUGGCACAAAAAUGGAAGACAUGAACUUUUUUUUGACCAGUUCUAUGUGCACGGACUUCAGCUUGCAAAUCCACUCGAGUGUUCCUAAUAAACAAAAGAAUCUACCCAAACACCAUGGUUACAAUAAUAAAAAGGGAAUUAUCGCACGCCAUGCUGGCAGCUUAACGUCUGACCAUCUCGCUGUGGUGUGCACUGUGCAUCUGAAUGCAUGUGCAGAUGAUUGUGGCAUAACGUGUGGAACAGCGAGCGUUGUGCGGACGUAGCAUCGCUCGGUAUUGCAUUCCGUAAAGAAAUUACCAUUUGAGAAAGCUAUGACACUUAAUAUCUUAAAGAACUGCAAUGACAUGUUGAAAGCUUCAAUAAAAGCAUCACCAUCAUCGCCACCAGUAUUCCGAUCAAUCCAGAUACUGAUACCCUCUGUACGUUUGAUAAUCUUCCAAGAUGUCUAAAAGGCAUCUACAGGAUACACAACUAUGUUCAAAUACUCAAAUGGCAGGCACAUGCAAGAAAAUAUGGUAUAACCGUAUAAGAUAUUAAGAUAGGUCACAAAACUCCGCAUUGAAUGUGAGCAUGGGCACAAAACCACCUCACAAGUAGAAUUUCCAUAACUCAUGAUUGGUAUCAUAUUUUUAUUAUAGUCAUGAUGCUUUCUGAAGUAGCCAAGCUUAGUUUAUGAGUAACAUAAAGAGAAUCAUUACCUCCAUGAAUAUUAGUACUUUGGAGCUAAUGGCCUUUAGCUUGGGAAGUACUUCAUCUAAUAGAACCGUUGUUUUCCUCUAAAAACAGAACCACAAGCCUCGAGGAGGCGCACCAAGGACGCUGCCCUCGAGCAGCUUCAAGACUCCAAGGAGACCAAAUAUGCCUCUACAUUGCAACGAGCGAUAAAAUAUAGCGCAACAAGAGAUAAAAAAAUAGCAUGUCUCUAGCCCUCCUUCCCGCCCUCGCCAACGGUGGCUGCGGUGUGUCCAUCUGAUCCCAACGCGUUCGGACAUGGUCAAUUCCAUGGCGAUGGGCCUUGCUCAUUGAACUUCUCUAUGUUGAUGUUUUGGAGACUGACACCAUGGAGCAGGCUAGACUCUGAAGCACAUCAACUCUGUUAGGUUGACGUAUUGGAGCCUGACACCAUGGAGCAGGCUAGACUCUGAAGCACAUCAACUCUGGUAGAGCCGUUAGAGGGAUGCACUACUGAUACCAUGCGCCAACAACAACAAGAAAUAGGUGCAUUCAAACGGGCUCACAUACCAAAUUCUUUUCCCUUUCAAUAGAAACUCACUGUGAGCUUGUCAUAGUAAAAACAAAAGGGAAAAUACAUGAAACCAACGAGAAGCAAAUAAAAUAAUUACAUGAUUUAGAAUUAUAUAUAGGACAAACCAAUUGAAAGCCCUAUCCUCCUAUUUGUUUUCAAGUUUGUGUUUUAUCAAAUGUGCGGGAACAAAUUGAACCAAAAAAAAUUGUGCCCCCCAAUUCAUAUUACUUGUUACCAGUUGUCUAUAAGUGCAGCUCUAAAACCCAAGUAUUGAAACUUCAAUGGGAAGAACAUACCGGUAGAAAUGAUAGAGAGGGGUUGAUGAAAUCGAUGUGUGUAUUACUGAUCCUUGAGGGCGAGCAUAUAUUGAGUACAAGACUUGGAGGGCAAGACGCCUCUCCUAGAGAUAAGGUAGAAGACAUAUUACAAAUCCUUGACUACCAAAUAUAUCUCUAACAUCCCCCCGUAGUCGUAGCGGUAGUGUUGCGAACAACAGGAGCGUCGCGGACGGUCAGAUUGAGGAAAAUAGCAGCCGAGGUUGAUACCCCCCUGUAGUCGUAGCGGGAGCAUUGCGGACGAAGUCGCGUCGCGAACGCGUUGACUCUAGAGGAAGCCGACGAUUUGCUCAAGCAAGGCGAUAGCCCUUUGUGCCGAUGUCGAGGUAGCCGAGAGCGUAGGGUGGUGUAGCCGUGGUCGAGGUAGCCGUGCGAAGAAUGCCGUGGUCGAUGUCGUGUAGAGGUGGCCGGUGUCGAGGAAGUCGUCGUGAAUCCACGGGCGCAAGGAGGCGCUGAGUUAGUCAUGGGCGCAGUGGUGUCAAGGUAGUGGUGCGUCGGAAGGAGAAUGGCGUUGACGAGGCGUCGCACCGGGUUUGCCAAACCCGGGGACACGUCAUAGACGAAGGCACGUGUCAGUGUUGCUAGCACCGGGCAUGCGAAGAUGGACGAGAUGAAGCUUAUGAAGCGCCGCACCAGGCUUGGCAGGCCCGAGAACACGUCGUGGACGAAGGCACGCAUCGGUGUUGCCAGCACCAGGCAUGCAUAUAUGAGGGACCAGCACGAGCCAGGCCCGGGGACACGUCGUGGACGAAGGUACGCAUCAGUGUUGCCAGCACCAGGCAUGCGUAGACGAGGGACCUGUACGAGCUGUAUGCCAUGUCGAGGAGUCGGAGGGGCAAGCAGAGAAGGAGACUCAACGACGGUUGUGGCGCCAAUCAGCGUGGUGCCGAUGUCACCAAUGUUGGUAGAUGAAGUGGUCGGGGAAGAUGACGGCGACGCUGGCGACGGGUUGAUGCUGGGCGAAGACGAAGGGGGUGGACGAGUGGCACAGCUCAGGUGAGCGAGCAGCAGCGGCGCCGGUUAGGAGUGCGACGACGAUGCUCGAAGUAGGCGAGGAAAGACCCGACAACGUGACGAAGACCAGCGCGGACGGUGGCGUUCCCACGCCGAGGGAGGUGGCGCGACGCAUACCACGAGAAGUUGAUGCAAGGGGACGGCGGAGUGGACCGCGGCCGCGGCGCUACAGCCCAAAGGGGUGACACAGUGGCAGCAGGCGGGUGAUGAGGACAUCAAUACCAUUGUUACACCCACAGUCCCUACUGCUAUACAUACUGGACCAAUUACUAGAGCUCGCGCACGCCAACUAAAUUACCAGGUACUUUCUUUUCUUGGUAAUGAUUCUAAUGUUCAUGAGAAUAUGAUGCUGCCUAAAUUGGAUACAUUUGUUUUGCUUACAAAUGAAGGGCCUAGCUUGGAGAAGGAUGAACAUUGGAGCAAGAACAAGCAUGGAGAUGAUGGCAUGCACAAGGGGAACAAGAACGGAGUUACAAGUGAUGAUUUCAGGACUUUGAAGCCACCAUAAUGGAUGCAUGAAGCCUUGGACGAAAUAUACAAGAUGCCACUUCAUAAAUUUCGUCUAGAGGCUAUUCUAGGUGCUGCGUCACCUUAUUAUUGGGCCAGGCCCAUGUAAUUUCAAAAUACAUAAGUAUAGGCUAUUUUUAGAGUCCGUAUGUGUGGGGAAACAAGAGAUAGGGUUGAUUUCGGACCCCUCCACCAAGGGCCACGAAAUUCCCCCCUCUUCCUCCAUAUAUACAGCCCUUAGGGCACCGUUUAGACUUUGGGUUUUGUUUAGAUUAAAAGUUCGCCAUAGCUGCAACUUCGCGUACUUCGUUUGUGUUCAACGACCAGACAAAGGCGUCGCAGAACCCACCUUGAUCAAUAAAGCUUUCAUCUUAUAUUCGCAAUAUCCAGAUUGCAAUCUCAGUUUCUUGCUUGUUCUUGUUUGCUCGCAGGAAACAGACCCUCGUGGUCAGGUUGAUCGUGCUCCGGCGUGGUCAAUAACCUCUCGGAGUUGGUUUAGCGAUUGCUAAGGCGCGACGUCCUCGCACGUUCGUAGUCGGAUCGUCAAAGUCGACUUCCACCAAAGCGAAAUCCACCAUCUCAUCGAAAGACGGGACACCUUUGCCUCUAUCAAGUGGUAUCAGAUUUCCAGGUUGCUCGGUGAGAUUUUACAGUUUUUCGUAGUUUAGAUCGAGUCUGUUCUUCAUACCUAUAGUCCACGAAAAAGCCAAAAAAAAUUAGGGUUAGUUCAUCCCAUCCAAACCAAUCUGAGCCUUUGCAUAAUCUUUUCUGUAUUUGCUUUGUUGAAUUUGCGGUUGCAUCGUCGUGUCAAGUUGCUGGUCUUAGCGUCUAGUCUUUUAGAGUUUCGAGUUCUGUUCACAGGUUGUCACGUCGCCGCUGCCAUAUAUCACCACCGCAUCAUCAUCGUCGUUGUUGCCAUAUACCACCACCACAUAUUCACCGCCAAUCCGAAUCCAUAUACGCCACCACAUAUCCGCCGCCAUCACGCCAAUCCGAGUUCACCUGCAACAUAUAUCCGCCACAUGUCCGUGUUCCACCGGAUUCAUCUCUGCCACCAAUCCGAGUUCCACCAGAUUCAUCUCCGCCACCAGUCCUAGUCCGAGUCCAGUAAUUGUUGCAUUGUUUUCGAUUUCCAGAUCACGCGAUACUCCGAGUCGUGAUAGAGAAGGACUCCCCAACUUCCGAGCCAUCCGCAGAAGAAAAAUAGUUCCAAUUAAAAAAAAACUAAGUCUGGAAAAUUCUGGCUAGGCAGUUUUUAGAGCAUUUGUAGACUUUUUCGAAAAAAAUUUGUUGCGGAGCAAAAAAAAAAGAGGAAAAAAAAGUGCAAAAAAAAUAGAAAAAAAAAUUCAGAGUGUGCUCCUCCCUUGUUUACGUGCCGCGCCGUGAUUUUGUUGGUGUUCUAGGCUCGCGUCUCUAGCACAGUCUAGCCUAGGACCAACACAGUACCGUUGUUGAGCAUUUAUUCAACUUUGCAUCUCUGAAUUGAUUAUUGCUGACCCUUUUUGCUACCAUAUUAUAAGCCUUCCCAGCUCCACAUACAUCUACGUCGUGCGUUUGACUCUCCCUGGUAAUCGCCCUAUCCAAGCUUUGAGAGUUUUGACUAUAACGGUUGCCGAUCACCGCCUGUUGCUGGGUAAGAACUGGUAAGAAUUUGAGUUUUGCUUGACGGAUUUGUGACACCCACCACCACCACUUGUUCGUAGUCUGUAGGAUCAUAUUCUUGUGUGUUUCUAUUGCUGCUAACCAUGCCAGGAUCACAAGCCGACGAGAUUGACUGGGAGAAUUUAUCGAACAAGGAGCUUCAUGAUAAGUUUCAGCAAAUGAUGACUGAACAGGUGCAAGAUGUGCUGAACAAUUUUGAAGAGGCCAUGGAAAAGAUCACUGGCCUUGAGAAUACGUUCGAAACAAAGCUCGAUAACAGAUUUAAUGAACUGCUUGCGCGUCUUCCGCCACCGGCUGCACCUGCCGCACCUCUGCAACAACAACAAAAACAAUUACCUCCAGGCCGCGAAACAGCCCUCCGCCGAGCGAGCCGUGUACUUCUUCAGCCUGGCCAAACUGUUGGUGCUGUUGUUGAUACUUCUGUGGCUCCUGCUGCUGAUGCGGAGGAUGAUGAAUAUGCGGGCGAUUAUGAGGAUGAGGUUGAUCAAAAUCAGAACUACGUGCAGCCACCAGCACCACCACCAGCAGGUCGACCUCAGAUAUAUAUUCGUAAUGGUAGGCCUGCACCACCACCUCAGGUACGAGAUGAUGUCCAUAUUCCUAAACUGAAAUUGAAUAUUCCACCAUUUGAGGGUAGAUAUGUUCCUGAUAUAUAUCUUACUUGGGAGUUAGAAACUGAACAACAUUUUACAUGUUUACAAUAUCCCGAGGAGAGACGGGUUGCUGCUGCUGUUUGUGCUUUCACUAGUUUUGCAUGUGUAUGGUGGUCUGAACAUUGUAGAUUAUAUCCUAUUCCCGCUACUUGGGCUGCUUUGAAAACUGCUAUGCGUACUCGUUGGGUUCCACCAUAUUAUCAGCGUGAAUUGCUUCAAAAAUUGCAGCGUUUAAGACAAGGAAAAAAUUCUGUAGAAGAAUAUUAUCAGGAAUUACAAACUGGCAUGAUUAGAUGUGGUAUUGUUGAGGAGAAUGAAGCUAUGCUUGCACGUUUUAUAGGUGGAUUAAAUAGAGAGAUUCAGACCAUUCUAGAUUAUAAGGAGUAUACUAAUAUCACUUGUUUAUUCCAUCUUGCUUGUAAAGCUGAACGUGAAGUGCAGGAUCGACAGGCAUUGGCGCGAACUAACUUUUCUGCAGGUCGACUUUCAUCAUGGACACCGCGUGCAUCCUCUACUGCCACUACACCAGCAACUCCAGCAGCUGCUACCUCCAGCCGUGAUACAAGAAAGCAGGCACAACCUCCACUAUCUGCCAAGAGCGCACCUGCCGGGCCUACGCAGAGCUCUUCUUCUUCCAUGGCAUCAACUGGGCACACAAGUGAUAUUAUUUGUCGUCGUUGUAAGGGAAGAGGUCAUUAUGCGAGAGAAUGCAAAUAUCAGCGUGUGAUGAUUGCUACUGAGGAUGGUGGGUAUGAGUCCGCUAGUGACUAUGAUGAGGAGACGUUGGCUCUUAUUACACAUGAAGAACACGGUGGAGAUGAUUCUGAUCAUGAGACGCAAUACAUGGCUCCUGAAGACGCUGACAGGUAUGAAUGUUUAGUUGCUCAACGUGUUUUAAGUGUGCAGGUCACACAAGCUGAGCAAAAUCAGAGGCACAAUUUGUUCCAUACCAAGGGAGUUGUGAAGGAACGUUCUGUGCGCGUCAUCAUAGACGGAGGGAGCUGCAACAACUUGGCUAGCAUGGAGAUGAUGGAGAAGCUUUCUCUCUCCACAAGACCACAUCCACAUCCUUACUACAUCCAAUGGUUCAACAACAGCGGCAAGGUUAAGGUAACACGUACUGUUCGUGUGCAUUUUAGUAUCUCUACAUAUGCUGAUUAUGUUGAUUGUGAUGUGGUACCUAUGCAAGCAUGUUCCUUAUUACUUGGUAGACCAUGGCAAUUUGAUAAAAAUUCUGUACACCAUGGUAGAAACAAUCACUAUACUCUUGUUCAUAAGGAUAAAAAUAUUACUUUGCUUCCUAUGACUCCUGAUUCCAUUUUGAAAGAUGAUAUUAAUAGAGCUAAUAAAGCAAAACAGGAGAAGAAUAAGAGUGAAAAUCAGACUGUGGCAAAAGAAUUUGAGCAACAAAUGAAGCCUAAUAAUAAACCAUCUAGUGUUGCUUCUGAAAUUAAAUUGAAAAGUGCAGGUUUAUUUGCCACCAAAUCUGAUAUUGAUGAGCUAGAUUUCAGCAAAUCUGUUUGCUAUGCUUUUGUGUGCAAAGAGGCAUUAUUUUCAUUCGAGGACGUGCCUUCCUCUUUGCCUCCUGCUGUCACUAACAUUUUGCAGGAGUUCGCUGACGUCUUUCCACAAGACGUGCCACCGGGAUUACCGCCUAUUCGAGGGAUUGAGCAUCAGAUUGACUUAAUUCCCGGUGCUUCACUGCCAAACCGUGCACCAUACCGUACCAAUCCAGAGGAGACGAAGGAGAUUAUGCGUCAAGUACAAGAGCUUCUCGACAAAGGUUAUAUACGCGAAUCCCUUAGUCCUUGUGCUGUUCCUAUUAUUCUAGUGCCGAAAAAGGAUGGUACAUCACGUAUGUGUGUUGAUUGUAGAGGCAUUAAUAAUAUUACUAUUCGUUAUCGUCAUCCUAUUCCUAGGCUAGAUGAUAUGCUUGAUGAAUUGAGUGGCUCUACAAUAUUCUUCAAAGUUGAUUUGCGUAGUGGAUACCAUCAAAUUCGUAUGAAAUUGGGAGAUGAAUGGAAAACAACAUUUAAAACUAACUUUGAAUUAUAUGAGUGGUUAGUCAUGCCUUUUGGGUUAACUAAUGCACCUAGUACUUUCAUGAGAUUAAUGAACGAAGUUUUACGUGCUUUCAUUGGACGAUUUGUGGUAGUUUACUUUGAUGACAUAUUGAUUUAUAGCAGAUCUUUGGAAGAACAUUUGGAACAUUUACAUGCUGUUUUUAUUGCUCUAUGUGAUGCACGUUUGUUUGGUAACCUUGGGAAGUGCACCUUUUGCACCGACCGAGUAUCUUUUCUUGGCUAUGUUGUUACUCCAUAGGGAAUUGAAGUUGAUAAAGCCAAGAUUGACGCUAUUGAGAGUUGGCCGCAACCCAAAACGGUCACACAAGUGAGGAGUUUUCUUGGCCUCGCUGGAUUCUAUAGGCGUUUUGUGAGAGAUUUCAGCACCAUUGCUGCACCUCUCAAUGAGCUUACAAAGAAAGAUGUGCCUUUUCUGUGGGGUACCGCACAGGAAGAAGCCUUCAUGGUAUUGAAAGAUAAGUUGACACAUGCUCCUUUACUCCAACUUCCUGAUUUUAAUAAGACUUUUGAGCUUGAAUGUGAUGCUAGUGGAAUUGGAUUAGGAGGUGUGUUAUUACAAGAUGGCAAACCUGUUGCAUACUUUUCUGAAAAAUUGAGUGGGCCUAGUCUGAAUUAUUCUACUUAUGAUAAAGAAUUAUAUGCUCUUGUUCGGACUUUAGAAACAUGGCAACAUUAUUUAUGGCCCAAAGAAUUUGUUAUACAUUCUGAUCAUGAAUCUUUGAAACAUAUUAAAAGUCAAGCUAAACUGAAUCAUAGACAUGCUAAAUGGGUUGAAUUCAUUGAGACUUUCCCUUAUGUCAUUAAACACAAGAAGGGAAAAGAAAAUGUUAUUGUUGAUGCAUUGUCUCAUCGCUAUACUAUGCUUUCACAACUUAACUUCAAAAUAUUUGGUUUGGAGACCAUCAAAGAUCAAUAUGUGCAUGAUGCUGAUUUUAAAGAUGUAAUGCAGAAUUGUAAAGAAGGAAGAAUGUGGAACAAGUUUGUCGUUAACGAUGGAUUUGUGUUUCGUGCUAACAAGCUAUGCAUUCCAGCUAGCUCUGUUCGUCUUUUGUUGUUGCAGGAGGCGCAUGGAGGAGGAUUAAUGGGACACUUUGGCGUGAAGAAGACGGAGGACGUACUUGCUACACAUUUCUUUUGGCCAAAGAUGAGACGGGAUGUUGAGCGUUUUAUUGCUCGCUGCACUACAUGUCAAAAAGCUAAGUCACGACUCAAUCCUCAUGGUUUAUAUAUGCCUUUGCCUGUACCUAGUGUUCCUUGGGAGGAUAUAUCUAUGGACUUUGUUUUAGGUUUACCUUGAACAAAGAAGGGGAGGGAUAGCAUAUUUGUUAUCGUGGAUAGAUUUUCGAAAAUGGCACACUUUAUACCAUGUCAUAAAAGCGAUGAUGCUGUUAAUGUUGCUGAUUUGUUCUUUCUAAAAUUAUUCGCUUGCAUGGUGUGCCAAAUACUAUUGUUUCAGAUCGUGAUACUAAAUUUCUUAGCCACUUUUGGAGAUGUUUAUGGGCUAAGUUGGGGACUAAACUGCUUUUUAGUACUACUUGUCACCCCCAAACUGAUGGACAAACUGAAGUAGUCAAUAGAACAUUGUCUACUAUGCUUAGGGCUGUUUUGAAGAGUAAUAAGAAAAUGUGGGAGGAAUGCUUGCCUCAUAUUGAAUUUGCUUAUAAUCGUUCAUUGCAUUCUACUACUAAGAUGUGCCCUUUUGAAGUUGUGUAUGGUUUCCUACCUCGUACACCUAUUGAUUUGUUGCCUCUUCCAUCUUCGGAGAAGGUUAAUUUUGAUGCUAAACAACGUGCUGAAUUAAUUUUAAAAAUGCAUGAGUUAACUAAGGAAAACAUUGAGCGUAUGAAUGCUAAAUAUAAACUUGCUGGAGAUAAGGGUAGAAAACAUGUUGUAUUUGCACCUGGAGAUCUUGUUUGGUUACAUUUGCGUAAAGAUAGAUUUCCUGAUUUGCGCAAAUCAAAGCUAAUGCCAUGUGCUGAUGGUCCCUUUAAGGUGUUAGAGAAAAUAAAUGAUAAUGCAUACAAACUUGAGCUGCCUGCAGAUUUUGGGGUUAGUCCCACUUUUAACAUUGCAGAUUUGAAGCCUUAUUUGGGUGAGGAAGAUGAACUUCCGUCGAGGACGACUUCAUUUCAAGAAGGGGAGGAUGAUGAGGACAUCAAUACCAUUGUUACACCCACAGCCCCUGCUGCUAUACAUACUGGACCAAUUACUAGAGCUCGCGCACGCCAACUAAAUUACCAGGUACUUUCGUUUCUUGGUAAUGAUUCUAAUGUUCAUGAGAAUAUGAUGCUGCCUAAAUUGGAUACAUUUGUUUUGCUUACAAAUGAAGGGCCUAGCUUGGAGAAGGAUGAACAUUGGAGCAAGAACAAGCAUGGAGAUGAUGGCAUGCACAAGGGGAACAAGAACGGAGUUACAAGUGAUGAUUUCAGGACUUUGAAGCCACCAUAAUGGGUGCAUGAAGCCUUGGACGAAAUAUACAAGAUGCCACUUCAUAAAUUUCGUCUAGAGGCUAUUCUAGGUGCUGCGUUACCUUAUUAUUGGGCCAGGCCCAUGUAAUUUCGAAAUACAUAAGUAUAGGCUAUUUUUAGAGUCCGUAUGUGUGGGGAAACAAGAGAUAGGGUUGAUUUCGGACCCCUUCACCAAGGGCCACGAAAUUCCCCCCUCUUCCUCCAUAUAUACAGCCCUUAGGGCACCGUUUAGACUUUGGGUUUUGUUUAGAUUAAAAGUUUGCCAUAGCUGCAACUUCGCGUACUUCGUUUGUGUUCAACGACCAGACAAAGGCGUCGCAGAACCCCACCUUGAUCAAUAAAUCUUUCAUCUUAUAUUCGCAAUAUCCAGAUUGCAAUCUCAGUUUCUUGCUUGUUCUUCGUUUGCUCGCAGGAAACAGACCCUCGUGGUCAGGUUGAUCGUGCUCUGGCGUGGUCAAUAACCUCUCGGAGUUGGUUUAGCGAUUGCUAAGGCGCGACGUCCUCGCACGUUCGUAGUCGGAUCGUCAAAGUCGACUUCCACCAAAGCGAAAUCCACCAUCUCAUCGAAAGACGGGACACCUUUGCCUCUAUCAGCGGGUCUGGGCGACGGCGGAGGACCUUGGGGCGGCAGCGUGAACUGCAUGCUGGACACUACGGCCCAAAGGGGCGGCAAAACAGCGGCGUACGAGAUGUUGCAGCCGCGGGGACGGCCUCAGGAGGCGACAUGGACCAUGUGCCGCAGCGCUACGGCGGCGACGCAACGGCGGCUCGCAAGUCAGUGCAGCCGCAGAGAGAACCAUAGGGUGGCGGUGCUGCGACCCCGUUGCUCGAUCUGGAGGGGCACGUUGUACUCGAGACAGUCUUUAUGGGACCUGCGGAGACGUGUGCAACCGAUGAGCCAGGUCGGUCACACGACGUAGAUGAGGCGGAUCGCGACGGCGGCCGGGUGAUCAAUCCGAUCAUGCGCGAGGUUGGGGAAGCCGCUCGGUGGAGGCGGCCUCGCGGAGGAGUGGCAGCGGAGUCCGAGAUGAAGCCGACGACGAUGGAUGACGAGGAAUGACGUGCGAACGAGCGGCUAGCGCCCGGCGCCGGGGCGGCGAGGCCCGAGCGACCAACGCAGCAACAGCGCCCUAGCUCGAGGGCCUACGAGCCCGAACCAGCCGGCAGCCGGCCCGACGUAGUCGGCGAUGUGGUCGUCGAGGUAGACGAUAGGAUGUCCGUACAGACGCGGCGGAUGCGGGUGGUGUUGGAGAGGUCCCGAUCGGAGGAGGGCGGCGACGAUCGGGAGGGCCAGCGUGUCGCGCGAGGCCGCCGGGUCGGGGUGGAUGCGAGGUGGUCGCGCCAAUGUCGAAGUAGGGCAGCGACAGCCGGCGCAAGGCGACAGGCGGGCAGCCAUGUGGAAGACAGCCGCGAGGGGCCGCUUGUCGCGCGAGGCUGCCGGGUCGGUGAAGAAGCUGGCCGCUCGCGCCGGUGUUGGAGUAGAGGCACACUAGGGUCGACGGCGGCGGCGGGCGACGCAAAGCGAUCUUAGAUCGAAAAGCCAAAAAGAGAACACCGAUCAAGAUGACCGGCGGGAGAGAAAAAGCCGAAGCAAGGACUCAGGAAAAAAACUCUCUAGGAAAGCCGGUCAACACGGCCGGCUAACGUACCCUAGGUACGGGUGAUGCGGCCCCCAACAGCGGUCAUGAAGGCCGUCCGCCCCGGAGGCGGCGCAGAGCGAAAGCGGCGGGCAGCGGCUGGGGUUGGAUCAGCUAGGCUGAUACCAUAUUAGAAAGGAUAGAGAGAGAUUGAUGAAAUGGAUGUAACUGAGCCUCGAGGGUGAGUAUAUAUUAAGUAUAAGACUUGAAGGACAAGAUGCCUCUCCUAGAGAUAAGGUAGGAGACAUAUUACAAAUCUUAGACUACCAAAUACAUGUAUAACAAAUACAUGUAUCCCAGAUGUAUCUCUAACACAUACAUAAUAUUAGAGACAAACCUAAAAAAUACGUAUGGGUUAGAGGGACUAUGGUAUCCCAGCCCACCAAAGUUUAAAUUCUGGUGCUCGCAUUUAUUACUGGAUUUAUUUCAGGAUUUUCGGCAAUGCUCAUUUAGUGGGAGUAGACGUUCUCGUCGACGACGAGGUGCCUAUGAUGACUUCGUAAAUUUCAAGAUAAUAUGCUGGCUCAGUCUUUCGGAGGUGCUCAUAGAAGUAGAAUGUGCGUGUGUACGUUCAUAAGGGUGAGUGUAUGCGUGUGUCUAUGAGCGUUUGCGUGUGUACUGUGUUAAAAAAACAAGACAAACCUAAAAUAAUAUGGAUGCCAUGGUUACCUUGGAAGAAAAAAAAUUAUAUGAAGAUUUAUAUUCCAAAAUCAUCUAUCUCUCCCUUCUGAAGCACAUCAAACAGAACCUGUAUAACAUAACUAUUACAUACAACUAUCUUAUUUUUGCAUUGGCAGAUCCCUCAAAAUCUUAGUACAGAGCUAGCAAGAAAAGAUUAUACACACUAUAUAAUAAUCAUGAUUUUGAAAAAUCAUAAAGUUGGUAAAACAAAAAAUACGAAUAUAUUAGGAAAUAUCAUUAGUCAGUCAUCGUACCUGGCAAGUAAUCUUAAAUUCAUUACUUGACCAUGAUACACAUUACAAUUAGAUAUACCCGGCAAUGUAAUCUUAAAUUCAUUGCUUGACCAUGAUACACAUUACAAUUAUAACUGAGCACCUUUCCUGCCCUCUCAUGCUAUUAGCGUUCCCAACCAUCGUAUCUGGACUCGUGGUCGUUUUUAGUGUUGGAUCUUCACUUAACCCCGCCUGGGCUUUCGUUACGCGAAUACGGUGCUACACAGGCUGGGCCGCUACUCCCGUGACAAAAUCCCUGAUCUGCUGUUAGCUGGGCCUCGAAUCUUUCCUGUGUGAUCAAUUCAUCCACGCGAUCUCUCUGCAUCCCCGCUCCCCUUCUUCCUUCCACUCGUGCCCUAGGCCUAAUCGCCGUACUGACGAUGACGGCUAGUGAUGCUUUGGGUUGCUGCCACCACCCCUACUGCUCCCGGUCCCUCUGGUAGAUAUCACCGCAACCGCUUUUGUUCAUCUUAUUUUUUGACCCGUUUUCCUUAAUCCUAUUAGCAGUGCCACUCCAUAUCUCGGCCGCCGCAAAAGAUUGCUAGGUUUGGAGAUGGUAUUUCAGGUGCUAAUGUCUUUCCGAUCUCAAUUUUGUACAGGUUGUGUUCAUCAAGGUUCCAGUCAACUGAUUCAGGCAAAUGUUGGGUGUUGGUACUCAUCGAGCCGCCGAUCUUCAAUCCGAUCCAUUCAAGUCAAGCUUGACUGAUCGAUGCAGGGCGAACCAAGGCGGGCCUGACUGAUUGAUGCAGGGCGAAGCAAGGCCGGGCUCAAUUUUUGUUGGUUCUAUCGAUGGCGGUAACGGCCUCGCUCGACUCUUCCUUGGCGUUGACACUUGACAUGCGGUGGAUUUUCACGUCCCUAUGCGCCUUCCUCUAAUCACUAGGUAACAAUACAAAGGGUAUUCCAAAUUUCCAUCUCUGCUCCUCUGCCACGCUUUGUUCCCCCUUUCUGAGUGUUUGUAAUUUGCAACUUAAUUUCUUGUUUAUACAGUUUAACAUGGAUUGAUUGGUCGAGGAGAGUAUGUCAACAAGAUAUGAUGCUAGAAACAUGGAGUUCCCCAGGGAGUCAGCUCGAUGUACUACAGUAACCUCGGCUGAUCUUAUCUUCGCAACCUCUGAAUGGCUUUACGACUUGCAAAUUAGGAUCCCUGAUUAUAUUGCUAUGUUUUGAUACAUGGUUGUACCUUCCGAAACCUGUGUUGGAUGCUUCGGGUGUUGUCUUCCUCAAUGAGAAAUCGUUCCAUGCACCCGGCAACAGUGAGAACAGACUUCAGAACUUAUGUUAGAACAGUCUUAACUGGAACAGAAUUAACUAAACUCUUGGUCCGAUAUGUAAUUUGUGAUAAAAUCUUACCUUCUUUUGGUUUUCUAACAAAUGUCUUGGCUCUGUUUUGUUUGGAGCCACCCGGUAGUUCUAUGCUGCUGCACAAAUACAUUGUGCUUUUUAGGACUGAAUUUUUUUCAUCGUAUCAAUUCUUCUGGAUGAUGUUCUAUUUGCUCAUUUUUUAAACUCAUGGAAUGAAAACAUUUUAUUCUCAACUCUAAUUUUAAAACUGGAUAUGUUUUUUCAUUACCAGAAAAUAUUCUGCUCUCUCAUUUCCAACCAAAAUAUAUAUCUUUAGUAAGUAUUUAACUUUCACCUUGCAUACCUUCAUGCAUUUUAUAAAUUCGUACUGUUCCAUAUACUCGUAUAAAUUCCUGUAUUAAGGUAGUCUUUAAUGCGAUCGAUUAUCUAACUUUUCUCCUGCUCUGUUUACAAGUAUGCAGGGCUCAUAUCUGAAGUAUGGUCGAAGCAUUGCUGUUAGGCAAGGUGGUUAAUUGUGUCCAGAUUAUUGAUGGGUGGUUUUCAUCCUUAACUGUAGCUUCACCAAAGUUGGAUUGUUGCACGCUUGCAGAUACGCGUAGUUUCAGUUUGGCUUGUGAUAUUGGUAUUUUAUAAAAAAUAAUUCCACACUUGAUGUAGAAAGAUCAUUCCGAAAUGAGCACGUUCCAUGUAAUCUGGGUGGCACUCAACCAUAUAUUCUAUGUACAGAACUCUCCGUUUGCACAACACUGGAACAUUGGUAACAUAUUUUGACUCCGGUAUUUCCUCUCUGGUCUGAUGUACGUCAUCUCAGUCUACGGAAAAUAAAAGUUUACCCAAAUUAUUAUAGAACCGAUUAAUUAAAAUUUCCAUUUGACUUCCAUCUUUACCCAUUGGCUUAUUUUAGUGAUGUUGAAUAUGGUUACUGCUUCCAUUUUUUCUCCCAUGAACAGAUGAAGCUUCGAUAAUUUGUGAACCUGCAUGCUG